rnacentral:rRNA from 1 species
AGAGUUUGAUCCUGGCUCAGAACGAACGCUGGCGGUAUGCCUAACACAUGCAAGUCGAACGCGAACGGAAUCUUCGGAUUCCAAGUAGAGUGGCGCACGGGUGAGUAACACGUGGAUAACCUGCCCUAGAGUCCGGGAUAACACUUCGAAAGAGGUGCUAAUACCGGAUAAGCUCACGACUUCUCCGGGAGAUGUGAGAAAAGAUUUAUUGCUCUAGGAUGGGUCCGCGGUCCAUUAGCUAGUUGGUGGGGUAAUGGCCUACCAAGGCUGCGAUGGAUAGCUGGUCUGAGAGGAUGAUCAGCCACACUGGAACUGAGACACGGUCCAGACUCCUACGGGAGGCAGCAGUGGGGAAUUUUGCGCAAUGGGGGAAACCCUGACGCAGCAAUACCGCGUGAAGGAUGAAGGCCCUUGGGUCGUAAACUUCUGUCAGAGGGGAAGAAAUACUCGCAAGAGUGCUGACGG